UGUUGAAAAUUUCAUUCAAUUCUAUUAUUAAAAAUUGGCAUGGUGGAUAGAAUAAACAAACAGUGACAAGUGGUGCGCCACAUGUAUCUCAUGUUAAUGUACAGAAAUCGAUUUUUAGCAAUAGAAAUGAAUAAAAUUUUUAACA
rfam:Gossypium hirsutum cultivar TM-1 chromosome 8, whole genome shotgun sequence